rnacentral:rRNA from 1 species
GACGAACGCUGGCGGCGUGCCUAAUACAUGCAAGUCGAACGCUUCUUUCCUCCCGAGUGCUUGCACUCAAUUGGAAAGAGGAGUGGCGGACGGGUGAGUAACACGUGGGUAACCUACCCAUCAGAGGGGGAUAACACUUGGAAACAGGUGCUAAUACCGCAUAACAGUUUAUGCCGCAUGGCAUAAGAGUGAAAGGCGCUUUCGGGUGUCGUUGAUGGAUGGACCCGCGGUGCAUUAGCUAGUUGGUGAGGUAACGGCUCACCAAGGCCAAGAUGCAUAGCCGACCUGAGAGGGUGAUCGGCCACACUGGGACUGAGACACGGCCCAGACUCCUACGGGAGGCAGCAGUAGGGAAUCUUCGGCAAUGGACGAAAGUCUGACCGAGCGACGCCGCGUGAGUGAAGAAGGUUUUCGGAUCGUAAAACUCUGUUGUUAGAGAAGAACAAGGACGUUAGUAACUGAACGUCCCCUGACGGUAUCUAACCAGAAAGCCACGGCUAACUACGUG